UAGGUUACACGCAAUUAUUGCAACUAUGCUGGUUACAUCAGUAAAGGGGAUAGCCAUAAUCCAUGACAUAUACAAUCGACCUUCCAGUGAUGUGAACUUGUGGAUGGGCCUGUUUGGAUAGCAUUGCCUCCAAUUUAUUAGAGUUGUGUCUAUAUGGCCACCAAAAC